rnacentral:rRNA from 1 species
GAUGAACGCUGGCGGCGUGCCUAAUACAUGCAAGUCGAGCGAACAGACGAGGAGCUUGCUCCUCUGACGUUAGCGGCGGACGGGUGAGUAACACGUGGAUAACCUACCUAUAAGACUGGGAUAACUUCGGGAAACCGGAGCUAAUACCGGAUAAUAUAUUGAACCGCAUGGUUCAAUAGUGAAAGACGGUUUUGCUGUCACUUAUAGAUGGAUCCGCGCCGCAUUAGCUAGUUGGUAAGGUAACGGCUUACCAAGGCGACGAUGCGUAGCCGACCUGAGAGGGUGGUCGGCCACACUGGAACUGAGACACGGUCCAGACUCCUACGGGAGGCAGCAGUAGGGAAUCUUCCGCAAUGGGCGAAAGCCUGACGGAGCAACGCCGCGUGAGUGAUGAAGGUCUUCGGAUCGUAAAACUCUGUUAUUAGGGAAGAACAAAUGUGUAAGUAACUAUGCACGUCUUGACGGUACCUAAUAAGAAAGCCACGGCUAACUACGUG